GGGGUCUCGGGCAGGGGCGGGGAGCUUACCGACCUCCCGCCCCCGCUGCGCGCGUUUCUGGCCCUGCCAGUGUCUCCGCCGGUUGAAAGCGCGUGUCUGCGUCGGGUUCUGUUGGAGUGCGUUCGGUGCGCCGUGGGUCCGCGCUGCUUCCACCCAACUUCCUGUUAGUUUCUCUCCUGUCACAAUGGCAUGAUCUCGGCUCACUGCGACCUCUGCUUCCUGGGUUCAAGGAUUCUCCUGCCUCAGCCUCCCAAGUAGCUGGGAUUACAGUUUCCAUCAUUAUCUUCUAUGGAGUUCUUCAUUCCCACAUCUGUGGACCUUAAAAUCCUACCGUUGAGUGCCUGCCUUGGAUCAGCAGUCAGUUCGUUACCUUGGUUCUCAGACGAUGCUUGCAACAACGCCAUGCGAUUCGCCCACUCUUGGAGAAAAUAAGAGAAGUAUCCCUGAAGGAUGAAAUAUCCUCGAAUAUGAAAAGGUCUGCUCUCUGAAGACCAACUGUCUCAGUCUGCUUUUUGCUGCUGUAACAGAAUACCACAGACUUGGUAAUUUAUAAACAGUAGAAGUCCAUGUGGCUUAUGCUUCUGGAGGCUGGGAAGUCCCAGGUUAAGGGGCUGCAUCCGGCAAGGGCUUCUCGCUGCCUUAUCACAUGGCAGAAGGCACCUUGUGGUGAGACAGUGAGGAAGGGCUGAUUUCACUCUCACAACAAACCCACUCCCAUGAUAAUGGCAUUAAUCCAUUCAGCAGGGCAGAGCCUUCGUGACCCCAUCACCUCUUAAGGCUCCCGCUCAGCAUGGUUGCACUGGGGUUAAAUUUCUAACACCUGAACUUUGGGGACAUGUUCAAACCAUAGCCAGGGCCCUGAGAAACCCAUUUCCACUGACUUCAAAAUAGUUCAUGAAAAUGGAGUGCUGAGAGAGCAGCAGGGCAUUCACAAGAAUGGUUUUGAGAGGCCUCACUGUGCCAGGCAUGGCCCUCAGGGCAGGCAGCUCUGCACAGCCCCCCAUGGCAGCAGCUGGUCAGGCUGCCCAAACUCACCACUUUGGAAUCACUUCAGCACCACCUGUCUUCACUUGAAAUCAAUUGUCUGCAGAUUUUAAACUCGUUUCUAUGUGCCCAGUAGGCAGAGAAGCCUUCAGAGAAGGAUCCUGACUCGGUGGUUUGUGCAGUGACAUUUGGCAGUGUUUUCUCGGCAAGCGAGUCUUUGAGGCUGCCCUCAUGCUGCUCAGUGGGCACACCAAGAACAAGAGCUGGCCAGGGAUGACGGACGCAUCUAGGCCUUCUCGGCCUAAGGGCAAGUCCCAUUCUUCCUUGAUAGGUCUUUAGAUGUACCAGUCAGCAAAUGUCAUCCCCCUCUGCAUUCACGUCAAGCUGUGCAGGGAAUGCUAAACAGAGGCAGAUCUAAACUUAGGAGUUAGGCUUCUUCUCCAUGGAGAUGUGGAUCUGCACAGACAAAGUGUCCAAGUGGGAUUUUCCUGCUAUUUCAAGGACUGCUGCUGCACCCUGCUGGCUCUUCCUGCACUCCCUGCCUCCAGGAAUGACUGUGUCUCUUUGAGUUAGUGAAGUCAUCAACUUUUUUUUUUAAAUCUCUUAUUAUUAUUAUUAUACUUUAAGUUUUAGGGUACAUGUGCACAUUGUGCAGGUUAGUUACAUAUGUAUACAUGUGCCAUGCUGGUGCGCUGCACCCACUAACUCGUCAUGUAGCAUUAGGUAUAUCUCCCAGUGCUAUCCCUCCCCCCUCCCCCCACCCCACAACAGUCCCCAGAGUGUGAUGUUCCCCUUCCUGUGUCCAUGUGUUCUCAUUGUUCAGUUCCCACCUAUGAGUGAGAACAUGCGGUGUUUGGUUUUUUGUUCUUGCAAUAGUUUACUGAGAAUGAUGAUUUCCAAUUUCAUCCAUGUCCCUACAAAGGACAUGAACUCAUCAUUUUUUAUGGCUGCAUAGUAUUCCAUGGUGUAUAUGUGCCACAUUUUCUUAAUCCAGUCUAUCGUUGUUGGACAUUCGGGUUGGUUCCAAGUCUUUGCUAUUGUGAAUAAUGCCGCAAUAAACAUACGUGUGCAUGUGUCUUUA
rnacentral:lncRNA from 1 species